GAUGAACGCUGGCGGCGUGCCUAAUACAUGCAAGUAGAACGCUGAAGGAAGGAGCUUGCUCUUUCCGGAUGAGUUGCGAACGGGUGAGUAACGCGUAGGUAACCUGCCUGGUAGCGGGGGAUAACUAUUGGAAACGAUAGCUAAUACCGCAUAACAGUAGAUGUUGCAUGAUAUCUACUUAAAAGGUGCAAUUGCACCACUACCAGAUGGACCUGCGUUGUAUUAGCUAGUUGGUGAGGUAACGGCUCACCAAGGCGACGAUACAUAGCCGACCUGAGAGGGUGAUCGGCCACACUGGGAAUGAGACACGGCCCAGACUCCUACGGGAGGCAGCAGUAGGGAAUCUUCGGCAAUGGACGGAAGUCUGACCGAGCAACGCCGCGUGAGUGAAGAAGGUUUUCGGAUCGUAAAGCUCUGUUGUAAGAGAAGAACGAGUGUGAGAGUGGAAAGUUCACACUGUGACGGUAUCUUACCAGAAAGGGACGGCUAACUACGUG
rnacentral:rRNA from 1 species